AUUGAGUUGAGAUGUAGAAAUGAUUGAAACUUUGCAGGCAUAGUGAGGAGUGAUGGAAUCCAAAGCAUCCGCAGAUUCAUCUGUGCUCUGCCGGCUGAUCAACCUUGACGCCGCCGUCUCCCUCCAUCUCUACACCUUCUUCCACCCCAUCCUCCCUUUCUCUCUCCUCAAAUCCCUCGAGCUCUCCGGCGAUGGCCGUCUCUUCUUCCCCAUUACCCUCUCCAUUCUCUUCAUCAACACCGCCCCCACCCCCGCCACCCUUCUCCUACUAAACCUCCUAAUCGGCUCCAUUUUGGACCUUCUCCUAAUUGGCCUAAUCAAGCACCUUAUCCAGCGGCCCCGACCCGUCUACAACAAGAACAUGUUCCUCUCCUUCGCCGUUGACCACUGGUCUUUCCCCAGCGGCCACUCAUCUAGGGUUUCGUUUAUUGCCACAUUCUGUUCCAUCUAUUCUGUCCAAAUUGCGGAUUUAUGGAUUGUAAAACUUUCUAAUUUGGAUGCUCACACUUGGAUUCUGGAGUAUUUCGCUUUGAUGGUAUGGCUAUGGGCCGGGAUCACCUCCAUUUCUAGGGUGCUUCUUGGGCGUCAUUUUGUGCUCGAUGUUGUUGCCGGGGCUCUUCUUGGUGUUCUUGAAGGGCUGCUGGUGUUUCGUGUUUUCAACGUCGAGAACUUCAGCUUCUGGUUCAGAUGACAUAUACUGAAAUCCCAUUGAACUCCAUAUCUAGAGUUUAUAAUCAGUUUCAUCAAUUAGCAAAAGUCUUGACUGGAUGUGGUGAUGAAGUGAGAUUCUGCAGGGAUGUUUAGGUAGGUAUUGAUUUGUUAUCCUCUUUAUGACCCUCUUUAUGUACUUGUUUUUUGCACCACUAACUUAUUACUUCCUUUGCCUCCCUGAUUCAUAGUUCCUCGCCUUCCUUCUUUGUUUCAUGGGACAUGCAUUUGUUGUAUUACUCAAAGAUUUUGAAUUGCAAGAACUGCAGUAUUUGCUUAGCCUAUUGGAAGGAGUUCAACUUUAGGGUUCAAAUGACAUUGAAUACACCAACCUUCCCAUUUCCUUGUGUCAAUGCCAAAUCUUCCCUUCUUCGAAAAGUUCAGUUUUGUUCAUGAUUAUUGGUAUUAGAGGAGGUUCUUGUGAUGCAUGAAAAAGAUGUUUCCCUCAUUCUUCUAUCCCCACUGGUGUAUGUUGUGUAGGUUUAGAAUAAUGGCCAUGAUCAUGUCUUGCAAUAUAGCUAUAUCUCCCUCAUACUAUAGCAUAGAGGGCUUAAUGAAUUACGCACACAGAUUCUGCCACAUGCAGUCAAUGAUUUAAUCUUGGCAGUUGACUUGUGAAAAAGACGAAGCAUUGUGCGAAUCAUUGUCCAACCUAUUGUGGUUAGAAAGAUGAAUCUUCAAUGAAAAAGUUGGGAUCCUAAGAGGAGGUUUGUGAUGUAGUAAAGUUCAUUGUUGCUUGGUGGGCCUCAGAUGACAAAGAGUUCCAAACCUUUUUAAUGUUUUAGAUGUUGCUAGAGAUUGUAAUCGUUUCUGCAGUUAAAUUAGAGAAGUUAAUUUGGUUAGGAUAUCAGGUGGGUAAUAAAGCUUUCUCAACUAUGGUUUUGUUAUUAAGCCAAUCUUUAAGGUUUAUCAUCGCCGAGCUUCAAAGAUGAUCAUUAUUUAAUGUUUAUAUUUAUACUA